AGCUCCUGCUUCACUGCCACUCUAACAGUGUCACAACACCAACCCGGUCACAGUCACACCAAUGACUCUGCCAACAGCCUAGCUCUCAGGCCCUGACCCUCCUCCCUUCCAGCGCCCUUCUCCUUCCCCCCUGCCGCUCACUGCCACAGCCCUUCCUUUGAUGGAAUUAAUAAUAACUGCAAAUCCCAUCACGAUCCUAAUCUCAAAUAUCCCACAUUGAUCAAAGAUCCCUCUUCUCUUUCUGGUUCUCUGCCUCUGCUCCCCCAAUGCCAAGCAGGCUUCAACCUCACCAGGAUAGGGCCGGGUGUGGUGGCUCAAGCCUGUAAUCCCAGC